rnacentral:rRNA from 1 species
AGUGAACGCUGGCGGCGUGCUUAACACAUGCAAGUCGAACGAGAACGGAUUAUAGCUUGCUAUAACUGUCAGCUAAGUGGCGCACGGGUGAGUAAUGUAUAGGUAAUAUGCCUCUUACUAAGGGAUAACAAAUGGAAACGUUUGCUAAUACCUUAUACUCCUUAUUAACAUAAGUUAAUAAGGGAAAGAUUUAUUGGUAAGAGAUUAGCCUGUAUUGUAUCAGUUAGUUGGUGGGGUAAUGGCUUACCAAGACUAUGACACAUAACUGGUUUGAGAGAAUGAUCAGGCACACUGGACCUGCGCCACGGUCCAGACUCAUCCGGGAGGCAGCAGUGGACAAUAUUGCGCAAUGGACGAAAGUCUGAUGCAGGAACGACGCGUGGAGGAUCACACAUUUCAGUGCGUAAACUCCUCUUAUAUGAGAAGAUAAUGACGGUAUUAUAUGAAUAAGCACCGGCCAACUCCGUGCCAGCAGCCGCCGUAA